CGUUACCUUCCAUUUUGGCUGUAGGUGAGGUGGUACACGGGUUGAAGAAGUAGCGUGUACAAGUUAGUAUUGGUAUUUCUGUGUGUAGUGCUUCUGAGUUUUGAAACACAUUUUAACAUGGCUGAUAAUGAUGACCUUUUGGACUAUGAAGAUGAGGAGCAGCCUGAACAGACUAUUGUGGAAGGAUCAGGUGAUACUCAGCCAUCCAAGAAGGAAGUGAAGGGAACAUAUGUGUCAAUUCACAGUUCUGGAUUCAGAGAUUUCCUGCUGAAACCAGAGAUUUUGAGAGCAAUUGUAGAUUGUGGUUUUGAACAUCCGUCAGAGGUGCAGCAUGAGUGCAUUCCACAGGCUGUACUUGGGAUGGAUAUUUUAUGCCAAGCAAAAUCUGGAAUGGGGAAAACAGCUGUAUUUGUCUUGGCAACUUUGCAGCAACUGGAACCAACAGAAAAUCAAGUAUAUGUUUUGGUCAUGUGUCACACUCGAGAACUGGCCUUCCAGAUCAGCAAAGAGUAUGAACGCUUUUCAAAGUACAUGCCACAAACAAAGGUUGGUGUGUUUUUCGGUGGCCUUCCUAUUCAAAAGGAUGAGGCAGAAUUGAAGAACAAUGUUCCACACAUAGUUGUAGGAACUCCUGGACGUAUUUUGGCAUUAGUUCGUUCAAAGAAGCUAAACUUGAAACAUCUGAAGCACUUCAUUCUUGAUGAAUGUGAUAAAAUGCUUGAAUUACUUGAUAUGAGGAGAGAUGUCCAAGAGAUCUUUCGCAACACUCCUCAUGGGAAACAAGUUAUGAUGUUCAGCGCAACGUUAAGCAAGGAGAUACGGCCAGUGUGCAAGAAAUUUAUGCAAGAUCCGAUGGAGGUAUACGUGGAUGAUGAAGCCAAGUUAACCCUACAUGGUUUGCAACAGCAUUAUGUGAAGCUCAAAGAAAAUGAAAAAAAUAAGAAGCUCUUUGAACUGCUUGACAUAUUAGAAUUUAAUCAGGUUGUGAUAUUUGUGAAAUCAGUACAGCGAUGUAUGGCCCUUGCACAGCUGUUAAUAGAGCAGAAUUUUCCAGCCAUAGCCAUUCAUAGAGGAAUGCUGCAGGAAGAGCGACUCUCGAGGUAUCAGCAGUUUAAGGAUUUUCAAAAGAGAAUUUUGGUGGCAACAAACCUUUUUGGUCGGGGUAUGGAUAUUGAAAGAGUGAACAUUGUUUUCAAUUAUGACAUGCCAGAGAAUUCCGACACUUACUUGCACAGAGUUGCUCGUGCUGGACGAUUUGGUACCAAAGGUUUGGCAAUUACAUUUGUAAGUGAUGAAUCUGACGCCAAGAUACUAAAUGAUGUUCAAGAUCGUUUUGAUGUGAACAUUACAGAAUUACCUGAUGAAAUUGACCUUUCGUCAUAUAGUAUGUACCUCAUUACAUUAUAGUCCUGUUGACAAGAUUGACAUUUAUUCUAAGAUAUAAAUUUAUGUGAAUCAUUUCUCUAACUCCUACAAAAAUAAUUUUUUGAAAGUGUGUUUGUCCGUUCUUAUGUUAUAAAAUGUUAGUAUUUGCAGUUAGCCUAAGAGUUUUACUAGAAAAAGGAAGAAUUUGACUAACAUAAUUUUUUUUAUUGCAGUUGAAGGUCGAUGAAAGCAUGGUUUUUUAUACCUGGCAAGUUCUUACGAUAGUACAAUGCAGUAUUCUGCAGACUCACAAAGUUCUGUUCCACUAAUGUCAUACACUGACAUCAUUAUGCAACAGGACAUCAUGUACACGACUGAAAACUGUAUCUAAGUGUUUGUGUGGGAUUGCUUGAAAGUUGUGAAAGUGAAAUAUAGUAUUUGUCCAUUUUUCAUGUGAUAUUCUGUGCAUAUCUGUAAUAAUAGUCUCUCUAAAAUAAGUUUCUACUGUCAAUAAAGUCAAUCUUUUAAACUA